AUUGAACGCUGGCGGCAGGCUUAACACAUGCAAGUCGAACGAGUGGCGGACGGGUGAGUAAUGUCUGGGAAACUGCCUGAUGGUGGGGGAUAACUACUGGAAACGGUAGCUAAUACCGCAUACCAUCAGAUGUGCCCAGAUGGGAUUAGCUAGUUGGGGGGGGAAUGGCUCACCAAGGCGACGAUCCCUAGGUGGUCUGAGAGGAUGACCAGCCCCACUGGAACUGAGACACGGUCCAGACCCCUACGGGAGGCAGCAGUGGGGAAUAUUGCACAAUGGGCGCAAGCCUGAUGCAGCCAUGCCGCGUGUAUGAAGAAGGCCUUCGGGUUGUAAAGCACUUUCAGCGGGGAGGCGUUACCCGCAGAAGAAGCACCGGCUAACUCCGUGCCAGCAGCCGCGGUAAUAC
rnacentral:rRNA from 1 species